UCAGAAGUAAAACGGUCUGCGCGCCUGAAUCACCAUGCAUCAUAUGCACGUUAUAUAACUUAGCAGUUCCAAGUCUAUGCGCAAUGUAAACUGUGCUGGCUGUCAGAUUCGGAUGGAUGAUUCUCUAAAGCAUCAUGUGAUGGCCACCAAUGCAUAGGAUGAUUGGUACUGUCAGUUAAUUGUCUGCGCGCAUCAUAUCUUCUGAAAAUACUUGUCAUGUUAUCAUGUUCUGGAUGGCGAAUAGAAAUCCAUUUUGCUCAUGCUGCCAAUGUGCUCCCUGCUGGUUUUUUCUGCCUGGAUUUGAACUGGCCACUGGAGAAUCUCGGGCCUUUUACUGAUUUUCAGUUUGAGUUUUGGACCAAUUAGUCGGCGACAAUUCAGUGUUUCGGUGGUAACCAGUAUUCCUUGAUUCCUGAAAAACAGAGUGCGUUCGAAUGUUAAGGUGAUGUCUUCUGGCUUUAUGGUUGGGUAAACACUCAUAUGGUGGGAGCUAGACGGUGGCGACUAUUUUGUCAUGACUCAUUAACAGAAGGAGUUGCUCCAACUAAAGCUCAAGCAACCUUUGGCCACUGCUGAUUGGAGGAUGGCCAUGAAUCUAGCGUAUGUUGGAAGUAGUAAAUAGACGAGUCUUAUAACAUGAGCUGUUUGUAGUACAGUCUUUUAUGCAAGGAUACUAGCAGGGUAAUGGAAGAACAUUAUAUUGAUCACAUGAGAAGGGAGAACGUACCUGAUGACCUCAAAUAUCAUAUUCAACGUGGAGAAGUUGAGU